rnacentral:lncRNA from 1 species
CGGGGCCGAAGCCGAAACACAGCGCAAGGGUCGGGAGCACACAGCACAAGUCGGUUAGUCUUGUGUGCUCCCGACCCCGACUCAGACUGCCAACACUCUACGCAGCCACUCCGCAGCCCCUCCAUCCGGGGAUGGCGCUGCAUUGAAUACACCACGAAGGGCUCUCAGGUCCCGCUAGAGCGGGUCCACAAGUCUCAGCUAGGGCAAAGACAAAGGCUC